UUUGUUCUUUCUACCCCAGAGCUGGGAAAUUCUUGGAUCCUAUGGCAGCAAAGUUGUUUGGUAGCAUGUGCUGUGCAAAAACAAGCUUUUACUGGGUCAUGCCAGCAGCAAGAAGACCUCCACUUCUUUUGUCAUCAUUAUCAGAGUGGAAGGUGAAAUAGACCAGAAACUCAGAUGCCUUCUGUACUUGUGCUGUAAGGCAAGGCUCUCUAUGCCUAGAUCAUCUCUGACAGAACUGCUUUCAAA